rnacentral:rRNA from 1 species
CCUACGGGAGGCAGCAGUGGGGAAUAUUGCACAAUGGGGGAAACCCUGAUGCAGCGACGCCGCGUGAGUGAAGAAGUAUUUCGGUAUGUCAAGCUCUAUCAGCAGGGAAGAAAAUGACGGUACCUGAUUAAGAAGCCCCGGCUAACUACGUGCCAGCAGCCGCGGUAAUACGUAGGGGGCAAGCGUUAUCCGGAUUUACUGGGUGUAAAGGGAGCGUAGACGGCAGCACAAGGCUGGAGUGAAAUGCCGGGGCUUAACCCCGGAACUGCUUUGGAAACUGUGCAGCUAGAGUGCAGGAGCGGUAAGUGGAAUUCCUAGUGUAGCGGUGAAAUGCGUAGAUAUUAGGAGGAACACCAGUGGCGAAGGCGGCUUACUGGACUGUAACUGACGUUGAGGCUCGAAAGCGUGGGUAGCAAACAGGAUUAGAUACCCUGGUAGUC